rnacentral:rRNA from 1 species
GUCGAACGGACAGACAGAGAGCUUGCUCUCUUGAAGUUAGUGGCGAACGGGUGAGUAACGCGUAAUCAACCUGCCCUUCAGAGGGGGAUAACAACGGGAAACCGUUGCUAAUACCGCGUACGAUUCACAGGCGGCAUCGCUUGUGAAUGAAAGGUGGCCUCUAUGUAUAAGCUAUCGCUGAAGGAGGGGAUUGCGUCUGAUUAGCUAGUUGGAGGGGUAACGGCCCACCAAGGCAAUGAUCAGUAGCCGGUCUGAGAGGAUGAACGGCCACAUUGGGACUGAGACACGGCCCAAACUCCUACGGGAGGCAGCAGUGGGGAAUCUUCCGCAAUGGACGAAAGUCUGACGGAGCAACGCCGCGUGAGUGAUGAAGGUCUUCGGAUUGUAAAGCUCUGUUAAUCGGGACGAAAGAGUUCUGUGUGAAUAAUGCAGAAAAGUGACGGUACCGGAAUAGAAAGCCACGGCUAACUACGUGCCAGCAGCCGCGGUAAUACGUAGGUGGCAAGCGUUGUCCGGAAUUAUUGGGCGUAAAGCGCGCGCAGGCGGCCUAUCCAGUCUGUCUUAAAAGUUCGGGGCUCAACCCCGUGAUGGGAUGGAAACUAGUAGGCUGGAGUAUCGGAGAGGAAAGCGGAAUUCCUAGUGUAGCGGUGAAGUGCGUAGAUAUUAGGAAGAACACCAGUGGCGAAGGCGGCUUUCUGGACGAAAACUGACGCUGAGGCGCGAAAGCCAGGGGAGCGAACGGGAUUAGAUACCCCGGUAGUCCUGGCCGUAAACGAUGGGUACUAGGUGUAGGAGGUAUCGACCCCUUCUGUGCCGGAGUUAACGCAAUAAGUACCCCGCCUGGGGAGUACGGUCGCAAGGCUGAAACUCAAAGGAUUGACGGGGGCUCGCACAAGCGGUGGAGUAUGUGGUUUAAUUCGACGCACGCGAAGACC